rnacentral:lncRNA from 1 species
UCCCAUUUUUCCACAUCUUAAAAGUUUGUUAUCACUCUAAUCAAAUUCUUCUAUUCGGCUUCCAAGCUGACUUCUGGCCACAGAUCUCAAUUGAAUAAAAUAAAACAGAGUCACAAAGUCUACAGAAGGAGAAACGAGACAUCUGGAAACAUAGGAUAUGAUACAGUAAAUAAAUUAGUAAUUAAUUAAAUAAACAAAGGGAGAGAGACAUAGACACAUAGUAUGGGAAACUGGGCUCUCUUUAUUUAUUUAUGUUUUCAUUUUGUCUUUACGGGGAAAUUAUGGUACUAAUGUUCCGUGUUGCAUAAAGUUGACCCAAUGGUUCAACUAAAUUCCACUCUAUAAUAAUACAUCAUGCUACUAUAAAUUGGCAACAAUAUGAUGCUCAAAAUAUAUAAUACAUACAUCAUGCUAUCCAGUGAUGAAAUGUAAGUGUGGUUUGCUAUCUAUAUACAGCAGGGGAUGCACUUGCAUCCCCUGGGCUUUUAAAAUUUGCACAUGAUUGCACUGUUUUAUUAGUGCUUAAACCUCCUGAUAUUUUAAGGAUGAACCUCCUCAUAUUUUAACAUUGCAAUUGAGCCAAACAUUUUGCACCAAUAAUCCAAGUUUCUCUCACCCUAUGAAUGACACGAGUCUCACUUUUAUGUUAGCACAACAGUAUUUGCCUCAACUAGAGAUAAUUGACUUCCUUUUUUAUAUAACUCUAUUUUUUAAAAACCCAACUCUCUAUUUGGUUUUUCCUAUUACAUUUGUUUUCUUUUAUUUUCUUAUUAAUAAUUGUAAUUGUAAUAAUUGAAUUCCUUCUAAAGUAAAAAUGAAGUGCUUGAAGAUAGAACACAAAUCCUAAAAGUCUUUUAAGAAGCUUUUACCACUAAAUCAAGUAUGUCGCAGAGUUUAAUUCUUGCAAAUAUAAUAUAUAUUACUAAAUAUUUUAUAUUCUUUCAUAACUUAAUACUCCCACCAUCCUAAAUUUUAACACGAAAAGUUCACUUUCUUUGUCCCAAAUUUAUAAAUAAAAUUGACAAAUGUUUACCCUAUUUAAUCAAGUUGGUUUCAAAUGUCAUCUUUUCCAAAUAAAAUAAAAUAAAUCUUACUUAUUCUCAAUUUUCAUGAACUCAAAUGCAAGGUGUACCCAAAUUACUCUCCCUCACAUUUUUUUUCUGUAACCAAUAACUUAUGUAAUUUUUUUUUUUGAACAAGAAUAACUUAUGUAAAUUAUUUUUACUUCUUUCCAUGAAACAUAUUUCAACACAAAAUGUUAUACACCAAAUUAUUAUGCUUUAGAAUUAUAAAUUUAUAAUUUACACAAAUUCUAACUUUCAUUUGAUAGAUUUUGAAAUUUAUAAUUUAUACAAAAUGUGGAAAAUAUAAAAAAUAAUAAUUAAACAUUUAUGCAAAAAAAAAUAGAUAUUUGAUUGAAAAAAAAUGACGAAAAUUAUAAAUUUAGUAGUAUAAAUAAAUGAUAAUUAAAAGAAAAAAAAUAACUGCACAAAACUUUCAUAGCUCUAGUAAAGUUGAAAGGUCCGAACCCCCUAUUCCAGGAUCCUGGCUACGCCACUGUAUAUACAUCAUGCUAUAGAUGGUAUUCCAGUUUUACCUAUCAAUUGUUCUUUUUCGGCAACAAGGAAAUCAAUAUUGAUUUUCUUCGUAAUAAAGUUAAAAUUCAUGUUUGAUGAUACCUUGAUUUUUGGUUUUCUUUUGUGUAGAAAGUGUUUUAUCCUAGACUAGUUUAUUUAUUUAUUUUGACAAAUCCUAGACUAAUUUAUUGUUGAUUCAUAUUAGACUCUUGUUGUAAUUUUCCUCUCUAUAUUGUCCACACCUCGUGCUCGUGGCAUAUAGAUGGUAUUCCAGUUUUACCUAUCAAUUGGAUUAAUAAACUAUUGAAGAGGUAAGGAUAAGUAAGGAAGAUGAGAGAAAAACAAAAGAGAUCUGAGGUAAGAGAAAGAGAGAAGGAGGUGAAGACAAAUAUGGACGAAAAUAAGUUAUUUAAUUGCCAACCAACAAUAAAGGUAGAAUUGAUUUGGAGUUCAAUUUGAAAGCUAGAAUUUGAAGUUUUUCUUAUAAUUGAUUUUGGAGGCUUAGUGUGUGUUUGAUUGUGUGUAGAGAGAAUUAAUUUUGAUAUAAUUUAUUAUGUAUAAUUAAUUUUGAUUAAAUGUGAUUGUGACUAAAAGGGUUUGUAUUUGCAUACAUUUAUGUUAUAGUGAGU